rfam:Gossypium raimondii Chr05_contig_923, whole genome shotgun sequence.
CACGUCAGAGCGCUUUGCUGACGUGGCAACAAAUCGCGCUCUGAAGGCCGCGCUUUGUUGCCACGUCAUCAAAGCGCGCUGACGUGG